rnacentral:rRNA from 1 species
AUUGAACGCUGGCGGCAUGCCUUACACAUGCAAGUCGAACGGUAACAGGUCUUCGGACGCUGACGAGUGGCGAACGGGUGAGUAAUACAUCGGAACGUGCCCAGUCGUGGGGGAUAACUACUCGAAAGAGUAGCUAAUACCGCAUACGAUCUGAGGAUGAAAGCGGGGGACCUUCGGGCCUCGCGCGAUUGGAGCGGCCGAUGGCAGAUUAGGUAGUUGGUGGGAUAAAAGCUUUCCAAGCCGACGAUCUGUAGCUGGUCUGAGAGGACGACCAGCCACACUGGGACUGAGACACGGCCCAGACUCCUACGGGAGGCAGCAGUGGGGAAUUUUGGACAAUGGGCGAAAGCCUGAUCCAGCAAUGCCGCGUGCAGGAUGAAGGCCUUCGGGUUGUAAACUGCUUUUGUACGGAACGAAAAAGCUCCUUCUAAUACAGGGGGCCCAUGACGGUACCGUAAGAAUAAGCACCGGCUAACUACGUGCCAGCAGCCGCGGUAA